UUCUUCGCCUGCUAUUGUUUUCUUUUUCUUUUCAUUUCAGUAUAUUUUCAAGUUUUUUUUAUUGAAAUUGAAUUUUUAUUUCGUGUAUGUGGAAGAUAAAUGACAAGAAUGUUAUUGGUUGGUUCGGAUUCAAGCCUUUUUUCUUUGGCGUAGUGUGAGUUGGAGCAGCCGUCGGCAAAUGUGAAAAACCCCUUUUUUGCAUAGACCAUGUAAAACAACAAAGCAAUGCUCUUAUGGUAUUGACAGCAGACUGCUGCAUUUAUGAAAAUUGCAAGCAUAAUGUUGAAAGAAACAGGCUUCAAUGUGACCCUUCUCCUUACACAGUCUGAUUUGCCAGAUUUUCCUGAGCUGGUGAAGGAGCCAAUAGAUUCGUUUCUCUUCUGCUCCAGUGGAUGGGUAUCUUUGAGUUUGUUCCAUGGCUGCUCUACACCAGUACCAAAAAUGACAUAAAACAAAUUUGUC